UGGGGAGUACGGUCGCAAGAUUAAAACUCAAAGGAAUUGACGGGGGCCCGCACAAGCAGCGGAGCAUGUGGUUUAAUUCGAAGCAACGCGAAGAACCUUACCUAGACUUGACAUCUCCUGAAUUACUCUUAAUCGAGGAAGUCGCUUCGGCGACAGGAAGACAGGUGGUGCAUGGUUGUCGUCAGCUCGUGUCGUGAGAUGUUGGGUUAAGUCCCGCAACGAGCGCAACCCUUAUUGUUAGUUGCUACCAUUUAGUUGAGCACUCUAGCGAGACUGCCGUGGUUAACGCGGAGGAAGGUGGGGAUGACGUCAAAUCAUCAUGCCCCUUAUGUCUAGGGCUACACACGUGCUACAAUGGCUGGUACAAAGAGAUGCAAUACCGCGAGGUGGAGCUAAACUAUAAAACCAGUCUCAGUUCGGAUUGUAGGCUGAAACUCGCCUACAUGAAGCUGGAGUUGCUAGUAAUCGCGAAUCAGAAUGUCGCGGUGAAUACGUUCCCGGGCCUUGUACACACCGCCCGUCACACCAUGAGAGUUGGCAAUACCCAAAGUUCGUGAGCUAACCCGUAAGGGAGGCAGCGACCUAAGGUAGGGUCAGCGAUUGGGGUGAAGUCGUAACAAGGUAGCCGUAGGAGAACCUGCGGCUGGAUCACCUCCUUUCUAUGGAGA
rnacentral:rRNA from 1 species